AGUGAACGCUGGCGGUAGGCCUAACACAUGCAAGUCGAACGGCAGCACAGUAAGAGCUUGCUCUUACGGGUGGCGAGUGGCGGACGGGUGAGGAAUACAUCGGAAUCUACUUUUUCGUGGGGGAUAACGUAGGGAAACUUACGCUAAUACCGCAUACGACCUACGGGUGAAAGCAGGGGAUCUUCGGACCUUGCGCGAUUGGAUGAGCCGAUGUCGGAUUAGCUAGUUGUCGGGGUAAAGGCCCACCAAGGCGACGAUCCGUAGCUGGUCUGAGAGGAUGAUCAGCCACACUGGAACUGAGACACGGUCCAGACUCCUACGGGAGGCAGCAGUGGGGAAUAUUGGACAAUGGGCGCAAGCCUGAUCCAGCCAUACCGCGUGGGUGAAGAAGGCCUUCGGGUUGUAAAGCCCUUUUGUUGGGAAAGAAAAGCAGCAGGUUAAUACCCCGCUGUUCUGACGGUACCCAAAGAAUAAGCACCGGCUAACUUCGUG
rnacentral:rRNA from 1 species